rnacentral:lncRNA from 1 species
GAAACACGAAGUUGCAGUAAACAAUACUAUACAAUGCAACUGUUUUACCAGUUUAUGGACAGAAAUCAAAUUGUGUUUGAAAGAAGAAACUAACAAUACAUUAUGAAGAGUGAUGGAUGGAGUUAAAGCAAAAGAUCCUGUGCGGGUUACUUUCACUUUAUAUCCAUUAGGAAGGGUUACAAGGUAUGGCACAGUUAAGGGUGUGAUAUAAAAGAGUAAGUCUUUAUUUUGUGUCAUAUGGUUAGAUUACCCUAAGUCUAUUAUCCAGGUGACAGAAUUAAUGUGUGUAAGCAUGCAAAAUUUGGAAUCAAAAACAGGGUUCUCAGUUAGCAUAGUAGCAGCAAAAUUGGCAGCAUACAUGGGAGGAGGAGUUUGGGCAGUGGAGUCCCCUAACUGGGUUUGUUGUAGCAAGGUCAUCAACUUAGCAUAGUACCAGCAAAAUUGGCAGCAUACAUGGGAGGAGGAGUCUGGGCAGUGGAGCCCCCUAACUGGGUUUGUUGUAGCAAGGUCAUCAAUUGAUCAUAUUGUUGUCUGCUCAACCCAGGUAUCACAGAACUCUGGCCAUCCAUAUUUGGAACAGGGUGAUCACUUUCAGGAGGAUUUCCAUGAGAAACAGACAUAUUUCCUUUAGAAGAAGGGAAAUCCACACCAGCAGUUAGAUGAGCAGCAGGUCUUCUCCCCUUGUUAAAUGUUGUACUUUGUGGAUACCCGUGAAUCUUGUAACACUUAUCAAUUAAGUGCCCAGAUUUUUUGCAGUAUCUACAGAAUAAAGAGNN